GUCCACGCCCUAAACUAUGAUCACUCGUUGUUGGCGAUACACAGUCAGCGACUAAGGGAAACCAUUAAGUGAUCCACCUGGGGAGUACGACCGCAAGGUUGAAACUCAAAGGAAUUGACGGGGGCCCGCACAAGCGGAGGAGCAUGUGGUUUAAUUCGAUGAUACGCGAGGAACCUUACCUGGGCUUGAAAGUUAGUGACCGCUCCUGAAAGGGAGCCUUCCGCAAGGACACGAAACUAGGUGCUGCAUGGCUGUCGU
rnacentral:rRNA from 1 species